rnacentral:snRNA from 1 species
AAGUGUUACAGCUCUUUAGAAUUUGUCUAGCAGGCUUUCCAGUUUUUGCCUGAAAGCCCCC